GAUCAGCUCGACCACCAGGAACAUCGCCUACACCCUCGCUUGGCCCCUAGUGCCGUCCACCGCCGUCCACGACGACCAAGACCGCCGCCCGACGAGUCCCGCACGGCCACGUCUCUGCCCGAGCCCCUCUCGCUUAAUUGCCAAUGACUCGAGCUCAUCCGCAGCUCACCGGCCACACUAGCGACACACCGGCCUCGCCACCACCCACUCGCUCGCCUUGAAUGGCCGCCGCCGCGGUCAGCUCGGGCACGACACCGCCCAGGCCACCCGAGCCAGCCAGCGCGACCCCGUGGUAAAUACGGACGACCACCGUCCGUACCUAACCGCUCCGGCCACUCCUACCUCGCCACCGCCCGCGCUUUGCCAUCAAUGGCCGCCGCCGACGUGUUCAUCUCUGGAACCCGCGGCACUGCCCUCCCCUCCCUAUAAAAAGCCACCCAAGGCCCUCGAAAAGCACCAUAUCACUCUACCUCUCCCUCACUGACCCACCCGUUGCAGCAACACAACCAGAGGAGGUCGUCUUCUCCGAUUCCGGCAACUACUGCCGCCGCCACUGUUCGGAUGGUUCCGACGCCGUCCGGCCCUUCCUCUCACAAGUUUAUCCACCACUAGCCUCCUUGAGCACCCAUUGAUCCACCCCCACACUCAAUUUUGCCCGGGAGCCACCAUAGGCGAAACACCCAAUUCGUCUCCGCCGGAGCUCCUCGGGUGAGCUCGCCGCCGGCGACUCCCUCCACUCCAGCGACAAAGGAGGGUACCCACAUGUUCGCCUCAACCUCCUGAGCUCGUAGGAGGCCUCGGUUUUCCAAACGGUGCCGCCUUUCGCCGGCGCCGACCGCCGGAGCUCCGCCUCUGUUCGGCCGGAGAAGGAGGCGCGCGCGUGGACUGGUCAAACCUGACCAGUGGGCCGGGCGGGCCCACUGCCAGUGACUCAGCGCGGUGCCAGCUCAUUUUAAGUGGAGACGUUUUCCCCAAAGUACGUCUCCUCCACCGGAAAACGUAUAAUAGUAAAAACGCCUUCGACGUCGCAACCCUCCCACGCAGCCAAACGACUGGGCUCGGCCCAGUAGCGCUAGGCGGCUAUACUGCGCCCAGGGCGCGUUUCUGCUCAGCCCAUCACAAUCAUGAUUCAGAGAGGAGUACUACGAAGCCACCUCGCAACCUAGGAUUCAGAGAUAGCAACCGCGCGAGAUAGGAGUUAUCCAGGUCAGCUGUUCCCGUGGGAAUGGAGUUCCAUCAGCGUUGGAGAUCCACGAGUCGCUUCCAUUAUUUGCCACUCGAAAUCAUUGUUGUACUCAAUGGACCUAUAAGGUCUUGUACUCAAAUCCUUGUAAUUUCUUGGAAUUCUGUAUCAAGGAAAUAUCCACCAGCAACAGUAAUCCUGGGGCUGGUGGUGACAUAAGGGUCGUUUGCUGGGAAUUUAUGUCCCGGAAAUCCGGCCCCGACAACCUUGGUAUCAGAGCUAGGCUGACCACCGGCUAAUCCUAUCUUAGCCUGGUCACUAUCCCUAGGUUUUCACACCGACCAUAUCCUUUUCUAUCCACCGUCAAGCUCAUCCUAACCGAUAGCCUGCAUAGUGGCCACCCGACAGAUUUUUGUUAGUCGGUGCCCAACCUAUUGUCCUAGGCCAUAGGCCGUGCGCCCGUGGCCGACACCUGAGUUGUCCCAUCCGCAAGCGUGCGAUGGAAGACUCCGCUGGCUUAUAAAGGAAGCCUUGCCCUUACUCAGCACAUCAUCGCCUUCACUCGCAGCUUGAUUUCCAAACCACCAAGAUGCAUGGUCCCAUCGUCCGCAACGAGACCACCGCAUCCGAGCUUGGAGAUUUUGUAGCGAUCCUCGCCAAUCUCACUCAUCGUGCUUUUGGCAUAGAUGAACCCCCAGAAUAUGUUGUGUACCAGGAACACACAAGUGAUGCCAUCCAUCACUUCUGGGCCACGGUGCACAUCUACGGGAGGGGCACCACAUCAGAACGCCCCUACCGGUUCACCGGAAGGAUGACCUCCGACGAGCCCCAAGCCAUCCAACUUGCAGCCGAGAGGGUAUAGUUCAUCUUCGGCAUUUGUCGCCGAGGGUUAACACCCGCCCUUUCUUCUACUACCCUAGUCGUGAAGGCUAUGGUAGCCCGACCCAAGUCGCCAACGGUGACCAUGAGUUGGAUCCUGCUCUAGUGCAUCUGGUGCGCUACCUGAGGGCGCAAGAGGCACUAUUCGAUCAGGUCACCAAUGAUCUGAUUGCGACCCGCAGGACGAUUGCACUCCUGACACCGGUAAGGAGUGAAGCUGCAACCAACACCGACACCCCAAUAAUGCUACUUGGGAGGCCAGUUGAACCCCCAAGGUCUGCUCCUAUCAUCAACCCCGACAAUGCCUUUGCCUCCCCAGGAGAACUCCGUCGUCUCUUGGAGACCUACUCCAACGGGAUUGUGACCACGAGACCCCACGAGGGGCAUCAUCGCUAUCCAGCACUAUAGCUCCCCAUCCUACCCCGAACAACUCCGACACUGAAGCUCACGGAGAGGCCUCGACAUCUGCAAGACACGCCCGGCUAGAUGUCAAUGAGGUGGACUGAGUCCACCAGGAGUAUUGUCAAAUCUUAGUAGUCCUGUUGUCUUGUAUUUUCAAGGUACCAAUCGUAUGGCAUAGUGAGCUUGUCAACUACAUGUGUGCCAUUGUUGUAAUGGUACUAUGUGUGAUCUAGCGUAAAUUAUUGGUGUAUGGCGACAGAGUAAAUGCUAGAUGUGACUGCCGACACGCACAGUAAUAUGUCACACUCCUUUUGAGAAGUGGUGUCCGAGAAUUUGACUUGGACAACCCUAUGUCGGAGCCGAUGCACAAGUCGUGCCAGCGCCGCAUCGUGUUUCCUAGCCCAGGCACCUUAUAAGGGGCCAUAUCCAUACACCACACCAGCCACCACCACACUUGAGCACCGCUCUUCUCCAUUCAUCCUUCCAUGUCUCACCCUGGAGUCUACCUACGAACUCCAGAUGCAAGCCCUGGUAGUUUCAUUAAGGUUUUGUGGGAUCUGACCCGCAAUACCCUUGGUUCCAGCAACCCACCCCAGUAUGAGUUGUUCAAAAUGAGGAUCACCCCUAAUUCCUCAAAAUACUGGGCAGUUGUGCACAUCCCACGAGAGGAUUUAAAUCAAGACCCUCCAUAUGUUGUCUUCGUCGGGAGAUCCAUGCCAACCUCAGGCAUGGCUAUUGAGGCUGCUGCUUAUGAAGCAGUUACCCGUGUUCGGUUCACUAUACCCGCUGCCAGUGAAAGGAAAUACUACUAUUUCCCGAGCCGCGCAGCUUUUGGAGCAGAAGCCACGUUCCGUUGUGAACGCAUAGAGAGGGAUCCAACUCUGGCCAAUCUCAUUCAAUAUGUGAUGGCCCAGGAGCAUCUAACCCAGCAACUAAUGGAUUACCUCCAUUAUCUUGCUAUGCUGAAUCCCCAUAUCGCCAUUGGUGGACCACCAUGGCCAACUCCGGAAGGGCGUGUUCUUCGUUUACUUCCUUCACUUCCCCCGGAAGAAGAAGAAUGUGCUCCAGCAUCGGGAACCCUUCCACAAGACCCUGUAGAUCUCACCUUCAGACUGUAGACGGUCAUUGUUGCUGUACCUAGCACUAGUAUACAUGAUGCAACCGCUGUAUUGUAAUUUAGGGCGUAUGUAAGUGCAUUGCCAUGACUGCAUUCUGCAUAUGAUCAUUUGUUGUGAUUUUCAGUUCUUCUGCCCUUAACAAAUCUCGAGGACGAGAUUUUUCUUAAGGGGGGUAGAGUUUGUAACACCCCAAAAUUUUAAUCAAAUUUUAUUAAGUAAAAUUUGGCCAGAAAUAAAAUUUUGAAUUAUACUAGGUCAUUUAUUAAUUUCAAAGCCUUUUCUAUUUCCUGUUUUACAAAAAAUUCUCCCCUCCAUAGAAGAUUAUUUUUGUGAAGUGUUGUGGUAUGUGGUUGUUUUAUAAGCCUUUCCAUUUGUAUCAUAAAUAACAGUGGGAAAUAUUUUCAUAAUAAAAUUUGCCACAAGUAAUACUUUUAAAAGCAUUUUCAAUACUUAAAAUGCUUCUAUUGCACUACAAUUAUUUUAAAUAAUUGUUUUAAAAUCCCACAAAAAUUGUGAGAGGUCGGGUGAUGCCUAUAAAUCACUUUUGAGCAAAAACCUAACUAUGUCUUUUGAAAAUUUUGAGAGAAACAUCCUCUUUUCAAAUUCUGUCCCAUUCUUGAGUUAUAACUGCAACCCUAAUUUUUCUAGCUCCAUUAAUUCUGAAACUUUGCCAUAUUGUAGUCCUUCCAACUAGUACCUUAAGUCCAGAAGGGAAGCUUCAAUUUCAACUUGCAAGUCCACCAAACACUUCUCUGAAGUUUCUGUCCAGAACUGAAUUCUGGUAAAACUUGCACUAGCAAGUUUCUCAUCUUGCCAAACUAACUCCACCAUCAUCUCUAGCACCUAAAGAGAUCCCAAUCUGGCAAGUUUCAAAUCCAUCAAAGUCCUUUAGCUUGCCCCUAGUGUUCUGUCAAACACCUUGUGGGCAUGACAGAAAUGUUGCCACUUUCUAACUUACACUGGACACCUGGUUAUUUGGCCAAACCAGCAUGUCCAUCACUCCUCUCAUACCUAGAAGCACCAUCUUGUUGAUUUUUAGCUCGUGUGUGUCCCUGUAGAUGCCACUGGCAAUCUGACGAACACCUAACGUGCGUGCACCGGGCGCGGCCAGAGCGUGUGUUUUGCACGCGUCGGCACCGAGCCCCUGCCGUGUCUCUGCUGCCUCCCCUUCUCAUCCUGAUCCUCCUCUGGAUCAGCUCGACCACCGGGAACCUCGCCGACACCCUCGCUUGGCCCCUAGCGCCGUCCACCGCCGUCCACGUCUCUGCCCGAGCCCCUCUGGCUUAAUUGCCAACGGCUCGAGCUCAUCCGGAGCUCACCGGCCACACUAGCGACACACCGGCCUCGCCACCACCCACUCGCUCGCCUUGAAUGGCCGCCGCCGCGGUCAGCUCGGGCACGGCACCGCCCAGGCCACCCGAGCCAGCCAGCGCGACCCCGUGGUAAAUACGGACGGCCACCAUCCGUACCUAACCGCGCCGGCCACUCCUACCUCGCCACCGCCCGCGCUUUGCCAUCAAUGGUCGCCGCCGACGUGUUCAUCUCUGGAACCCGCGGCACUGCCCUCCCCUCCCUAUAAAAAGCCACCCAAGGCCCUCGAACAACACCAUCUCACUCUCCCUCUCCCUCACUGACCCACCCGUUGCAGCAACACGACCAGAGGAAGUCGUCUUCUCCGAUUCCGGCAACUACUGCCGCCGCCACUGUUCGGAUGGUUCCGACGCCGUCCGGCCCUCCCUCUCACAAGUUUCUCCACCAAUAGCCUCCUUGAGCACCCAUUGAUCCACCCCCACACUCGAUUUUGCCCGGGAGCCACCAUAGGCGAAACGCCCAAUUCGUCUCCGCCGGAGCUCCUCGGGUGAGCUCGCCGCCGAUGACUCCCUCCACUCCAGUGACCAAGGAGGGUACCCACGUGUUCGCCUCAACCUCCUGAGCUCUUAGGUGGCCUCUGUUUUCCCAACGGAGCCGCCGUUCGCCGGCGCCGACCGCCGGAGCUCCGCCUCUGUUCGGCCGGACAAGGAGGCGCGCGCGUGGACUGGUCAAACCUGACCAGUGGGCCGGGCGGGCCCACUGCCAGUGACUCAGCGCGGUGCCAGCUCAUUUUAAGUAGAGACGUUUUCCCCAAAGUACGUCUCCUCCUCCGGAAAGCGUACUCACGGAGAGACGCCUUCGACGUCGCAACCCUCCCACGCAGCCAAACGACUGGGCUCGGCCCAGUAGCGCUAGGCGGCUAUACUGCGCCCAAGGCGCGUUUCUGCUCAUCCCAUCACAAUCAUGAUUCAGAGAGGAGUACUACGAAGCCACCCCGUAACCUAGGAUUCGGAGAUAGCAACCGCGCGAGAUAGGAGUUAUCCAGGUCAGCUGUUCCCGUGGGAAUGGAGUUCCAUCAGCGUUGGAGAUCCACGAGUCGCUUCCAUUAUUUGCCACUCGAAAUCAUUGUUGUACUCAAUGGACCUAUAAGGUCUUGUACUCAAAUCCUUGUAAUUUCUUGGAAUUCUGUAUCAAGGAAAUAUCCACCAGCAACAGUAAUCCUGGGGCUGGUGGUGACAUAAGGGUCGUUUGCUGGGAAUUUAUGUCCCGGAAAUCCGGCCCCGACAUGAUUGGGGCAUGAAUAUAACAUUGAUUUAAGCCUCCC